GGAGGUUGCUCAGAUUUGUGUUGCUGCGUUGGAAAGCCCCUACGCAUCUGGCAAGACAUUUGAGGUUAAAAGUGUGGUGCCAUUUAGUGAGCCAUUUACAGUGGACCCUCAAAAUCCACCCCCUGAGAAGGACUACAAUGUUUACUUUAAAACUUUGAAAGAUGGAAUUACAGGAAAGGAAAUCCUCGAACAAGAUCCUGUACCAGUGUAAUGUUUUGCAUACAUAGAGCUCUAAUUUCAACCUUAACUCUGUAAGUAUAAUGGAGCUUAAUAUACUUCCAUUUUCAUCUGAGAUAAUUCUCUCA